UGGGGAAUUUUGGACAAUGGGCGAAAGCCUGAUCCAGCAAUGCCGCGUGUGUGAAGAAGGCCUUCGGGUUGUAAAGCACUUUUGUCCGGAAAGAAAUCCUUGGCUCUAAUACAGUCGGGGGAUGACGGUACCGGAAGAAUAAGCACCGGCUAACUACGUGCCAGCAGCCGCGGUAAUACGUAGGGUGCAAGCGUUAAUCGGAAUUACUGGGCGUAAAGCGUGCGCAGGCGGUUUGCUAAGACCGAUGUGAAAUCCCCGGGCUCAACCUGGGAACUGCAUUGGUGACUGGCAGGCUAGAGUAUGGCAGAGGGGGGUAGAAUUUCCACGUGUAGCAGUGAAAUGCGUAGAGAUGUGGAGGAAUACCGAUGGCGAAGGCAGCCCCCUGGGCCAAUACUGACGCUCAUGCACGAAAGCGUGGGGGAGCAAAACAGGAUUAGAUACCCUGGUAGUCCACGCCCUAAAACGAUGUCAACUAGUUGUUGGGGGGUUCAUUUCCUUAGUAACGUAGCUAACGCGUGAAGUUGACCGCCUGGGGAGUACGGUCGCAAGAUUAAAACUCAAAUGAAUUGACGGGGUCAUAGCUGUUUCCU
rnacentral:rRNA from 1 species